rnacentral:rRNA from 1 species
GAGGUUGAUAGGCCGGGUGUGUAAGCGCAGCGAUGCGUUGAGCUAACCGGUACUAAUGAACCGUGAGGCUUAACCUUACAACGCCGAAG